ACUCCUACGGGAGGCAGCAGUGGGGAAUAUUGCACAAUGGGGGAAACCCUGAUGCAGCCAUGCCGCGUGUGUGAAGAAGGCCUUCGGGUUGUAAAGCACUUUCAGUAGGGAGGAAGGUAGUGUAGUUAACACCUGCAUUAUUUGUACGUUACAUACAGAAGAAGCACCGGCUAACUCCGUGCCAGCAGCCGCGGUAAGUACGGAGGGUGCGAGCGUUAAUCGGAAUUACGUGGGCGUAAAGCGCAUGCAGGCGGCCUGUUAAGUCAGAUGUGAAAGCCCGGGGUCUUAACCGUCGGAAUUGCAUUUGAAACUGGCAGGCUAGAGUCUUGGUAGAGGGGUUAGGAAUUUCAGGUGUAGCGGUGAAAUGCGUAGAGAUCGUGAAGGAAUACCGAGUGGCGAACGGCGGCCCCCGUGGACAAGACUGACGCUCAGAUGCGAAAGCGUGGGAGCAAACGAGGAUUAGAUACCCCUGGUAGACUGUCA
rnacentral:rRNA from 1 species